rnacentral:rRNA from 1 species
CCUACGGGUGGCAGCAGUGAGGAAUCUUGGUCAAUGGACGAAAGUCUGAACCAGCCAAGUAGCGUGCAGGAUGACUGCCCUACGGGUUGUAAACUUCUUUUAUAUGGGAAUAACAUGUUCCACGUGUAGGAUUUUGUAUGUACCGUAUGAAUAAGGAUCGGCUAACUCCGUGCCAGCAGCCGCGGUAAUACGGAGGGUCCGAGCGUUAUCCGGAUUUAUUGGGGUUAAAGGGAGCGUAGGUGGAUUGUUAAGUCAGUUGUGAAAGUUCGCGGCUCAACCGGAAAAUUGCAGUGGACACUGGCAGUCUUGAGUACAGUGGAGGCGGGCGGAAUUCGUGGUGUAGCGGUGAAAUGCUUAGAUAUCACGAAGAACCCCGAUUGCGAAGGCAGCUUACUGGACUGGAACUGACACUGAGGCUCGAAAGCGUGGGUAUCAAACAGGAUUAGAUACCCUAGUAGUC